rnacentral:rRNA from 1 species
UACGAAGGGGGCUAGCGUUGCUCGGAAUCACUGGGCGUAAAGCGCACGUAGGCGGAUUGCUAAGUCAGGGGUGAAAUCCUGGAGCUCAACUCCAGAACUGCCUUUGAUACUGGCGAUCUUGAGUCCGGGAGAGGUGAGUGGAACUGCGAGUGUAGAGGUGAAAAUUCGUAGAUAUUCGCAAGAACACCAGUGGCGAAGGCGGCUCACUGGCCCGGUACUGACGCUGAGGUGCGAAAGCGUGGGGAGCAAACAGGA